rnacentral:rRNA from 1 species
AUUGAACGCUGGCGGCAGGCCUAACACAUGCAAGUCGAACGGUAACAGGAAGAAGCUUGCUUCUUUGCUGACGAGUGGCGGACGGGUGAGUAAUGUCUGGGAAACUGCCUGAUGGAGGGGGAUAACUACUGGAAACGGUAGCUAAUACCGCAUAACGUCGCAAGACCAAAGAGGGGGACCUUCGGGCCUCUUGCCAUCGGAUGUGCCCAGAUGGGAUUAGCUGGUAGGUGGGGUAACGGCUCACCUAGGCGACGAUCCCUAGCUGGUCUGAGAGGAUGACCGCCCACCCUGGAACUGAGACACGGUCCAUACGCCUACGGGAGGCAGCAGUGGGGAAUAUUGCACAACGGGCGCAAGCCUGAUGCAGCCGUGCCACGUGUAUGAAGAAGGCCUUCGGGUUGUAAAGUACUUUCAGCGGGGAGGAAGGGAGUAAAGUUAAUACCUUUGCUCAUUGACGUUACCCGCAGAAGAAGCACCGGCUAACUCCGUG